GUUGAUCCUGCGGGAGGUCACUGCUAGUGGGAAUCGAUUUAGCCAUGCAAGUUUUAAGGAGCAAUCCUUGGCGAAAGGCUCAGUAACACGUCAUUAAUCUACCCUUAGGUGAGGGAUAACUUCGGGAAACUGAAGAUAAUACCUCAUAGAUAUUUGAUGCUGGAAGGCGCUUAUAUCAAAAGCUCAGGCGCCUAAGGAUGAGUUGGCGGCAGAUUAGGCAGUUGGUGGUGUAACGGACCACCAAACCGAAGAUCUGUAGGGGGGAUGAGAGUCCUAGCCCCGAGAAGGACACUGAGAUAAGGGUCCUAGCCCUACGGGGUGCAGCAGGCGCGAAACCUCUACAAUGCACGCAAGUGUGAUAGGGGAAUCCCACGUGCUGGCGUAAUGCGUCAGCUUUUCUAAAGCGUAAACAACUUUAGGAAUAAAGGGUGGGCAAGACCGGUGCCAGCCGCCGCGGUAACACCGGCGCCCUUGGUGGUGACCGCGUUUAUUGGGCCUAAAGCAUCCGUAGCUGGUUAUGUAAGUUUUUGGUGAAAUUUGGCAGCUUAACUGUCAAGCGGGCCGGAAAUACUGCAUGACUUGAGACCGGGAGGAGUUAGAGGUAUUCCAGAGGGAGCGGUAAAAUGUGGUAAUCUCUGGAGGACCGCCGGUGGCGAAGGCGUCUAACUAGAACGGGUCUGACAGUCAGGGAUGAAAGCUAGGGGAGCGAGCCGGAUUAGAUACCCGGGUAGUCCUAGCUGUAAACGCUGUCUGCUUGGUGCUGCACCUUCUUGUGAAUGUGCAGUGCCGAAGUGAAAAUGUUAAGCAGACCGCCUGGGAAGUACGGUCGCAAGGCUGAAACUUAAAGGAAUAGGCGGGGGGUCACUACAAGGGGUGAAUGUUGCGGUUUAAUUGGAUUUUACUCCAGGAACCUUACCAGAGGCGACAGCAGGAUGAAGGUCUGUCUGAAUGGCAUACUCGACACGCUGAGAGAUGUUGCAUGGCCGCCGUCAGCUCGUGCCGUGAGGUGUUCGGUCAAGUCCGAGAACGAGCGAGACCUGCAUCUUUAGUUGCUAAUGUUUUUUUCAGAAGACAUGCACACUGAAGAGACUGCAUGCGUAAGCAUGAGGAAGGUGCAGGCUACGGUAGGUCUGUAUGGCUCAAAUCCUUUGGGCUACACGCGACAUGCAUUGGCUAGAACACCGAGCUGCGACUCCGAAAGGAGGAGCUAAUCCCUUAAAUCUAGUCUUGUUUG
rnacentral:rRNA from 1 species